AGCGGCGGACGGGUGAGUAACGCGUGGGUAACCUGCCUCAUACAGGGGGAUAACAGUUGGAAACGGCUGCUAAUACCGCAUAAGCGCACAGUACCGCAUGGUACGGUGUGAAAAACUCCGGUGGUAUGAGAUGGACCCGCAUCUGAUUAGGUAGUUGGUGGGGUAACGGCCUACCAAGCCGACGAUCAGUAGCCGACCUGAGAGGGUGACCGGCCACAUUGGGACUGAGACACGGCCCAA
rnacentral:rRNA from 1 species